CAGGACGAACGCUGGCGGCGUGCUUAACACAUGCAAGUCGAACGAAGCAGCAGUGAAGGAGGCUUCGGCCAAUGGAUCUGUUGACUUAGUGGCGGACGGGUGAGUAACGCGUGAGCAACCUGCCUUUCAGAGGGGGAUAACGUUUGGAAACGAACGCUAAUACCGCAUGACAUAGUAUUAUCGCAUGGUAGUGCUAUCAAAGGAGCAAUCCGCUGAAAGAUGGGCUCGCGUCCGAUUAGAUAGUUGGUGGGGUAACGGCCUACCAAGUCGACGAUCGGUAGCCGGACUGAGAGGUUGAACGGCCACAUUGGGACUGAGACACGGCCCAGACUCCUACGGGAGGCAGCAGUGGGGAAUAUUGCACAAUGGGCGCAAGCCUGAAUGCAGCAACGCCGCGUGAGGGAAGACGGUUUUCGGAUUGUAAACCUCUGUCCUUGGUGACGAACAAAUGACGGUAGCCGAGGAGGAAGCCACGGCUAACUACGUGCCAGCCGCCGC
rnacentral:rRNA from 1 species